rnacentral:ncRNA from 2 species
UUAUCUUAUGGCGAUGGUGCUCGCCUACGCGAAACGCUGAUGGCGCCUACUCUGUG